CAGGAUGAACGCUAGCUACAGGCUUAACACAUGCAAGUCGAGGGGCAGCAUUUUAGUUUGCUUGCAAACUGAAGAUGGCGACCGGCGCACGGGUGAGUAACACGUAUCCAACCUACCGAUAACUCCGGAAUAGCCUUUCGAAAGAAAGAUUAAUACCGGAUAGCAUACGAAUAUCGCAUGAUAUUUUUAUUAAAGAAUUUCGGUUAUCGAUGGGGAUGCGUUCCAUUAGUUUGUUGGCGGGGUAACGGCCCACCAAGACUACGAUGGAUAGGGGUUCUGAGAGGAAGGUCCCCCACAUUGGAACUGAGACACGGUCCAAACUCCUACGGGAGGCAGCAGUGAGGAAUAUUGGUCAAUGGGCGAGAGCCUGAACCAGCCAAGUAGCGUGAAGGAUGAAGGCUCUAUGGGUCGUAAACUUCUUUUAUAUGGGAAUAAAGUUUUCCACGUGUGGAAUUUUGUAUGUACCAUAUGAAUAAGGAUCGGCUAACUCCGUGCCAGCAGCCGCGGUAAUACGGAGGAUCCGAGCGUUAUCCGGAUUUAUUGGGUUUAAAGGGAGCGUAGGUGGAUUGUUAAGUCAGUUGUGAAAGUUUGCGGCUCAACCGUAAAAUUGCAGUUGAAACUGGCAGUCUUGAGUACAGUAGAGGUGGGCGGAAUUCGUGGUGUAGCGGUGAAAUGCUUAGAUAUCACGAAGAACUCCGAUUGCGAAGGCAGCUCACUAGACUGUCACUGACACUGAUGCUCGAAAGUGUGGGUAUCAAACAGGAUUAGAUACCCUGGUAGUCCACACAGUAAACGAUGAAUACUCGCUGUUUGCGAUAUACAGUAAGCGGCCAAGCGAAAGCAUUAAGUAUUCCACCUGGGGAGUACGCCGGCAACGGUGAAACUCAAAGGAAUUGACGGGGGCCCGCACAAGCGGAGGAACAUGUGGUUUAAUUCGAUGAUACGCGAGGAACCUUACCCGGGCUUAAAUUGCAACAGAAUAUAUUGGAAACAGUAUAGCCGUAAGGCUGUUGUGAAGGUGCUGCAUGGUUGUCGUCAGCUCGUGCCGUGAGGUGUCGGCUUAAGUGCCAUAACGAGCGCAACCCUUAUCUUUAGUUACUAACAGGUUAUGCUGAGGACUCUAGAGAGACUGCCGUCGUAAGAUGUGAGGAAGGUGGGGAUGACGUCAAAUCAGCACGGCCCUUACGUCCGGGGCUACACACGUGUUACAAUGGGGGGUACAGAAGGCGGCUACCUGGUGACAGGAUGCUAAUCCCAAAAACCUCUCUCAGUUCGGAUCGAAGUCUGCAACCCGACUUCGUGAAGCUGGAUUCGCUAGUAAUCGCGCAUCAGCCAUGGCGCGGUGAAUACGUUCCCGGGCCUUGUACACACCGCCCGUCAAGCCAUGAAAGCCGGGGGUACCUGAAGUACGUAACCGCAAGGAGCGUCCUAGGGUAAAACUGGUAAUUGGG
rnacentral:rRNA from 1 species